UGGUCCUACGGGGGGCAGCAGUAGGGAAUUUUCGUCAAUGGGCGCAAGCCUGAACGAGCAAUGCCGCGUGAACGAGGAAGGUCUUCGGAUCGUAAAGUUCUGUUGAAGGGGAAAAAGAGCGGAGAGAGGAAAUGGUCUCCGAUUGAUAUUACCCUUCGAGGAAGUCACGGCUAACUACGUGCCAGCAGCCGCGGUAAUACGGAGGAUGCGAGCGUUAUCCGGAUUUAUUGGGUUUAAAGGGUGCGUAGGCGGAAGGUUAAGUCAACGGUCAAAUGUCGGUGCUCAACACCGGCCUGCCGUUGAAA
rnacentral:rRNA from 1 species